rnacentral:piRNA from 1 species
CUGGAGGUGUCUGGGAAGUCUCAGAAAACC